rnacentral:lncRNA from 1 species
AUUCGGUGUUGGCGUGUGAAACUGUGACGGCGUAGGAUUGUUGUUGUUACUGAGAGUAUGUACAAGUUUAAAGGACACAGUCAAAUUGUCAUUAUGUUGGUGCACUUUGUUCCCAAAACCGAAACAAAAUUUAAACAGCAAGUUUUUGUCAUGGCUAGUUGUUGUGUUGGACGUUUAUGAUGAAACUGAUGGAUCAGAACUUUGAUUAUCACCUUGAAUGCCGAAUAACUGUGACAGAAUCAAUAAGGAAGGACCAUAUAAAGGCAUCACAUGUUCACAUCACUAUUUACACCAAAAUUUCAAAGCAAGACAUUGAAUUUGCCCAACUUGACAAGUUUUGAUGGCCAUUUGAUGUUCAAGGUGAUAAUGUAGAUGCUGAAUUUCUGUGAAUUUCAAUGUCAUGGCUUUCUACUAGUAGCGAUUGCAUGUCUCAACCCAUGCUGAAACACAACAGCAAAAGUAUUCUUGCUCAUGGACCAUAGGAUCUUUUCCGAAUCUUGGAAUUUUGGUAGUGAAACCUGUGACAGCAUACUCGUUAUGACUGUUUCUACAUCCCUGUAUGUGGUUGGAGGCAACCCAUCUGAGAGAUAGAGUUUCAGUUACAGUCACAUGACGAGUGUGAAGUGAAUGGAAUUCUCAUUUACUUUGCUGUUUGUGAAAAUCUUCAACACAUGACAUACACUAAUUGAAGUUUCAACAUUUCGAAAUUUCAUCAAGUCAACAGCUAUUACCUUCAAUCACAUGUGUGCUGUUGUAAAGGGGAGUUUGUUGUUCCACUGGUUCAUGUGUAGCAGUGAUAUAGCUGUCCAAAGUGUAUUGUUGCAGCCUGUGGUGAAAGAUAUUGUGCAACGAAUUGCGAAGGAAGGAGCUGCGGUGGUGUAAUAUCCUGUACUACUGUAUGGGGCUGUGGUGUAGUAAGUUGGACUCUCUUGCAGGUACCGCGUAACUUUGUUGGCGUCAUAUUCAGAAGAGUCCUGCUGGUAGGACGGCGUAGCAGCUGAGUAAUAUGAAUCAGUUUCCUCGGGUAAAUCGCCGGCAUUAUAGUGGGAAGAAGAUUCUUCGUAGGCCUACCGGGAGUAGAUUCCAGGUCGUAUGGGCUAUAGUAAUCGCUGGGCAAAUAGUAGCUCGCUACAGCUUGGGUGAAGGGAGCAGGUCCAUAUGCGUAGCUAGAAGUAGUGGUAUGGUAACCAUGCUCUUCGUACCGGUAGCCAUCAGUGGUAAAAGUUGGCGCUGAAUAAUAAGAACUCUUUGUGAGGGGCUCGUACUCGUGAUGGUCGGAUUCAGCUCCAUAAUUCGGUGCAACAUCGUAGUGAGGAGCAGCUGUUGUGUAAGCGAAAUAGGCAGUACUCUCGUAGUAAUAACCAGCUGUGGUGUAGUAGCCAGAAGUGGUGUAAGCUGUUGAAGUAUAAUAAGUAGCCGUUGUUGCGUAAUGGGAUUCGGCUUCAGCUUUGUAGCUAAGAGAGGCGUAAGAUGGAGCAGAGAAGUAAGAAGCUGACGUCGAGUAGUAAGUUGGAGCCUCAGUUCUGUAGCCAGCAGUGGAAUAAGACGGCAGAAAAUAACGAGAAGUCGUUGACGCGGAUAGUACGAAGGAGCCGGAGUGGAGUAGUACGAAUUCGACUUGACAGUAGUCGUUUCGUAUUUCUGUAAAUAACAAAAAAAAAAUCUGGGUAUGAAUGACUCUUUUUAAAACGUUCACAUCUACAGUGACGUACCUGAUAAGGCGUGUUGGUUGUCGUGUAGCUCUCGCCGUAAGUAGAAGAAGGUUUUAAUAUAUAUGACGCCACUCCGAUCCCGUAUCCAGGUUUGACGACGCCACAGGAGACAUUAACAACGCUAGUCAUUAGCAGAACAAGUGAAAGAGUCAAUCCCAAUCUUCCUAAUGCAUUUCAAACAGUAGGGAAGCAUAACUAUUGUUAAAGUACUAAAGUUUCAACUUUCAACAAAGAUCAAGAAGUUUCUUAAUUACAGAAUUUAAAAAAAAGCAGACGAAAUUAAAUAAGGCAAAGAAUGUAAACAAUGGACAAGGCGAAAGCUAAUUAUACUUGAUGGUUUGUUUGAAUACACCACAAUGUUAAAUAAUAAUAAUAACUUACCUAUGACGAUUUCAAAAAGUACCAAAGUUGAAUGAAGCUCAACUAAGGGUUUUCACACGUUUCUGAUUUUUAUAUACCUGUGCCCUCUUUGAUGCAAUGCCUAAUUACUCCCCCAAAACAGAUGAUCCUUAAUGGCGCGUUAAAAUUUCAACAUUUUUUACAGUUUUUCAGUAUACAAUUUUUCAGUUGAUUGAAAACUGACACAUUGGUACAAUUCCCUUACACUGAAUUAAUUUUGUAUUAGUCCAAUCCAAAUCCUAUUUUUUUAGGGCAUUUGUCUAAAUUAUAAAUGUGGAAUUCUCAGUAGAAUGGUUUUCUCAAUAGAUGGCGGUAUUGAUUCAUGAUUUUUGUUCUCAAUAGAGGGCCUGACUGACUCUCCACCAGGAACUAGCACAACAGCAGGUGUGUGUCUGUGCUAACAAAACUGCGUAUUUUGAAAUUUAAUUUAAUCCGUUUUAAACGGGUCAUUUCGAUAAAUGGGUUAAUUCACCCACAAUCUUAACAUACUUCAGUACAGGUUGUAAAUAGGAUGUGUAGUAACAGUAUUUGGGAAACUGUUAUGUGUUAUUAUUAGUCCAUUAUGUGCAUGUGCAUCCAGCAUUUGGUUGACAUGAGAUCAAAAAUGCGCUUUUCAAGUUUUGUGGGUAUGUUAAGACCAGUCCUUCAACUACGGCGGUUUGCUGUCAAAAGUUAAGCUAUCUUUUCUUCGAAAAUUUCCAAUGAAUUCAUAGUCUGAGGAAACAUGAAAGUGGUGCAGCCUACCGUCAACUAUUUUGUUCAAAUUCAUUCUAUUCUACUGAACGUGCCAUUGAAAUGAUACAGUUAACAACCAACACUAGCUUAAACUAACCUACAUUCUUCUCAUGUUUUAUUAGAAUUUAUCUUAAUUAUCGGCUGUUUCUUUUGGACUUGCUAGAUCACCGACCCCAGAAUGGACCAUUCUCUCAUUCCAUUUUCUAGAGAGCCUUGGAUAACUGAUUUAUGGUUUCAUGUGUAAGUUCACUUAUCAUGUUACUGAACUUUCUUCGUUCAAAAAGGUCAAAGACUACACGUUCAACAAGAUUCCUUGUUUGCUAACCCGUUGUCUGCCACCCUUGAAUCUCUCUGUUUGUCAACAACUGAAAAAGAGGUUCCUGAAUGGAUGGAAAUGAUGAAAAAUCGCCCGGAAUUGGGCCUCAAGGCCAACCAGAAAAUAGCUCAACGGAUGAAACACGGGCAGUUUCCUUACUCCAAAGAAUUUGAACAAGAUUCUGAUGGCUUAGCAUAAUCCUGCUUGGUGUCUUUAGAUAUCCUUUUUUUAUUUAAAGAAAGGUUUUCGGACGGCAUUUCUUUUAAACCUGGAAAAGUUGUUCAAGUUACUUGGGGCUCAAAGAAAAACAGAGACAUCAUCUUAUACAAGACACUCAAUACUUCAUUAAGUGCAAC